rnacentral:rRNA from 1 species
CGUUCCCGGCCUUGUACACACCGCCGUCACACCACGAAAGUCGGCAAUACCCGAAGCCGGUGGCCUAACCCGCAAGGGAGGGAGCCGUCGAAGGUAGGGUCGAUGAUUGGGGUG